rnacentral:tRNA from 1 species
GGAUUGUGGCUCAGAGCUACAGUGCUCGCCUAGCAUGUGUGAGGCCCUGGGUUCAAUCCUCGGCACCA